GACGAACGCUGGCGGCGUGCUUAACACAUGCAAGUCGAACGGAAAGGCCCUGCUUUUGUGGGGUGCUCGAGUGGCGAACGGGUGAGUAACACGUGAGUAACCUGCCCUCGACUUUGGGAUAACUUCAGGAAACUGGGGCUAAUACCGGAUAGGAGCUCCUGCUGCAUGGUGGGGGUUGGACAGUUUCGGCGGUUGGGGAUGGACUCGCGGCUUAUCAGCCUGUUGGUCGGUGAGUGGCUUACCAAGGCUUUGACGGGUAGUCGGCCUGAGAGGGUGACCGGCCACAUUGGGACUGAGCUACGGCCCGGCCUCCUACGGGCGGCAGCAGUGGGGAAUAUUGCACACUGGGCGGAAGCCUGACGCAGCCACGCAGCGUGCGGAAUGACGGCCUUCGGGUUGUAACCCGCUUUCGCAUGUGACGAAGCGUGAGUGACGGUAAUGGGUAAAGAAGCCCCGGCUAACUACGUG
rnacentral:rRNA from 1 species